rnacentral:lncRNA from 7 species
CAUGCGCCUACAUAAGGGGCAACAAGGGUUUUGCGGCCAUCCACAGCGGGUGCGCACCGCUGGCGCCACUGGCGGCGGAGGGCCCGGUGGCAGCCAUAGGAGCGCAUGCCUAUCAUAGCAGAACAGACAACACCACGAGCAGCGCGACGAUGAUGUGGAGUGAUGUCAUCUAGCCUUGCCUCCUCUGCAUAGCCUCGCUGUCGUCGGAGCCGCACACCAAAGACAAUUUGUUGCGUAGCAAGCGUGACUCAAAGGUUCUGGCUGGCGUGGGAGCGAACGGGCAGAAAAGCUUUAGCGAGCGAAUGAAAGUGCACCGUGUUUAGCAAAUGACAAAGAUGACAUGUAUUUUAGUGAAUCUUUUAUAGGUCAUUGCUGGAGGCUUUGCAAAUGACGACAAACACUAUAUUUAGUGUACCGGACGCUUUUGUAACCCAUGCUAGAGACAGUGUUAGGUGUCUUUUCUUC